rnacentral:tmRNA from 1 species
GGGGGCGAAUGGAUUCGACGGGGGUUAUGAGACUCAGGUCGCAUGUCGUGGCUCCGCAACCACGUAAAAAUGCGGGAAACAAUUUAAACGCCAAUAACGAAUUAGCACUCGCCGCUUAAAUAAAGCGCGACGUCCUGUCCGAGAAACCUGCUAUCGGAUAAGGGCGUAAUAAAGCAGGCUGGCACUGAGCGAAUGCCCCGGCAUUCAGUGUAAGAUUCAGGGGAUUGGGUGACGGAUGGCCUGCUGGCUGGCGGCCUGAACCUGAAACACAAGUAGGCCGGCUAAACAUGUAGUGAUUUGAGGGUAGUGCUUUCGGACGCGGGUUCGACUCCCGCCGCCUCCACCA